GACGAACGCUGGCGGCGUGCUUAACACAUGCAAGUCGAACGGUAAGGCCCUUCGGGGUACACGAGUGGCGAACGGGUGAGUAACACGUGGUGAUCUGCCCUGCACUUCGGGAUAAGCUUGGGAAACUGGGUCUAAUACCGGAUAGGACCACGGUCUGCAUGGAUUGUGGUGGAAAGCUUUUGCGGUGUGGGAUGGGCCCGCGGCCUAUCAGCUUGUUGGUGGGGUGAUGGCCUACCAAGGCGACGACGGGUAGCCGGCCUGAGAGGGUGUCCGGCCACACUGGGACUGAGAUACGGGCCCAGACUCCUACGGGAGGCAGCAGUGGGGAAUAUUGCACAAUGGGCGCAAGCCUGAUGCAGCGACGCCGCGU
rnacentral:rRNA from 1 species